rnacentral:rRNA from 1 species
GAUCAUGGCUCAGAUUGAACGCUGGCGGCAGGCCUAACACAUGCAAGUCGAACGGUAACAGAAAGCAGCUUGCUGCUUUGCUGACGAGUGGCGGACGGGUGAGUAAUGUCUGGGAAACUGCCCGAUGGAGGGGGAUAAGUACUGGAAACGGUAGCUAAUACCGCAUAACGUCGCAAGACCAAAGAGGGGGACCUUAGGGCCUCUUGCCAUCGGAUGUGCCCAGAUGGGAUUAGCUAGUAGG